ensembl:snoRNA SNORD25 Small nucleolar RNA SNORD25
CCUCUCUGUGAUGAGACCCUUUUCACAGACCUGUACUGAACUCCGUGAGGAUAAGAAACUCUGAGGAGGC